rnacentral:rRNA from 1 species
UACGUAGGGGGCAAGCGUUGUCCGGAAUUAUUGGGCGUAAAGCGCGCGCAGGCGGUUUUUUAAGUCUGAUGUGAAAGCCAACGGCUUAACCGUUGAGUGUCAUUGGAAACUGGAGAACUUGAGUACAGAAGAGGAGAGUGGAAUUCCACGUGGAGCGGUGAAAUGCGUAGAUAUGUGGAGGAACACCAGUGGCGAAGGCGACUCUCUGGUCUGUAACUGACGCUGAGGAGCGAAAGCGUGGGUAGCAAACAGG